AAGUCGAGCGAAAGACGAGGAGCUUGCUCCUCUGACGUUAGCGGCGGACGGGUGAGUAACACGUGGAUAACCUACCUAUAAGACUGGGAUAACUUCGGGAAACCGGAGCUAAUACCGGAUAAUAUAUUGAACCGCAUGGUUCAAUAGUGAAAGACGGUUUUGCUGUCACUUAUAGAUGGAUCCGCGCCGCAUUAGCUAGUUGGUAAGGUAACGGCUUACCAAGGCAACGAUGCGUAGCCGACCUGAGAGGGUGAUCGGCCACACUGGAACUGAGACACGGUCCAGACUCCUACGGGAGGCAGCAGUAGGGAAUCUUCCGCAAUGGGCGAAAGCCUGACGGAGCAACGCCGCGUGAGUGAUGAAGGUCUUCGGAUCGUAAAACUCUGUUAUUAGGGAAGAACAAAUGUGUAAGUAACUAUGCACGUCUUGACGGUACCUAAUCAGAAAGCCACGGCUAACUACGUGCCAGCAGCCGCGGUAAUACGUAGGUGGCAAGCGUUAUCCGGAAUUAUUGGGCGUAAAGCGCGCGUAGGCGGUUUUUUAAGUCUGAUGUGAAAGCCCACGGCUCAACCGUGGAGGGUCAUUGGAAACUGGAAAACUUGAGUGCAGAAGAGGAAAGUGGAAUUCCAUGUGUAGCGGUGAAAUGCGCAGAGAUAUGGAGGAACACCAGUGGCGAAGGCGACUUUCUGGUCUGUAACUGACGCUGAUGUGCGAAAGCGUGGGGAUCAAACAGGAUUAGAUACCCUGGUAGUCCACGCCGUAAACGAUGAGUGCUAAGUGUUAGGGGGUUUCCGCCCCUUAGUGCUGCAGCUAACGCAUUAAGCACUCCGCCUGGGGAGUACGACCGCAAGGUUGAAACUCAAAGGAAUUGACGGGGACCCGCACAAGCGGUGGAGCAUGUGGUUUAAUUCGAAGCAACGCGAAGAACCUUACCAAAUCUUGACAUCCUCUGACCCCUCUAGAGAUAGAGUUUUCCCCUUCGGGGGACAGAGUGACAGGUGGUGCAUGGUUGUCGUCAGCUCGUGUCGUGAGAUGUUGGGUUAAGUCCCGCAACGAGCGCAACCCUUAAGCUUAGUUGCCAUCAUUAAGUUGGGCACUCUAAGUUGACUGCCGGUGACAAACCGGAGGAAGGUGGGGAUGACGUCAAAUCAUCAUGCCCCUUAUGAUUUGGGCUACCNACGUGCUACAAUGGACAAUACAAAGGGCACCGAAACC
rnacentral:rRNA from 1 species